rnacentral:rRNA from 1 species
AUUGAACGCCGGCGGAACGCUUUACACAUGCAAGUCGAACGGUAACGCGGAGAGAAGCUUGCUUCUCUCCGGCGACGAGUGGCGAACGGGUGAGUAAUACAUCGGAACGUGUCCACUCGUGGGGGACAACCAGCCGAAAGGUUGGCUAAUACCGCAUGAGUUCUACGGAAGAAAGAGGGGGACCCGCAAGGGCCUCUCGCGAGCGGAGCGGCCGAUGACUGAUUAGCCGGUUGGUGAGGUAACGGCUCACCAAAGCAACGAUCAGUAGCUGGUCUGAGAGGACGACCAGCCACACUGGGACUGAGACACGGCCCAGACUCCUACGGGAGGCAGCAGUGGGGAAUUUUGGACAAUGGGCGAAAGCCUGAUCCAGCCAUUCCGCGUGCAGGAUGAAGGCCCUCGGGUUGUAAACUGCUUUUGUACAGAACGAAAAGGUUUCUACUAAUACUAGGAGCUCAUGACGGUACUGUAAGAAUAAGUACCGGCUAACUACGUGCCAGCCGCCGCCGCAG